rnacentral:rRNA from 1 species
UGAACCUGUGGAGGGAUCAUUA